AGCCUAGCGAGACCCUACUUCGAGCCCCAAGGGACGUACAUUAAGGACGGGGAUGCAGAGAGCGAUCCCCAGGCUCUUGGAUAAUGCAGGGAGCAGGGGAAGUGGCACCCAUUGGCCAAGGCUGUGGUGGAGACAGCUCGGGCGCCAGUAGGGCGGCUCUUACCCGGAGGGUGCGGAGCUGCGGUCGGUCGGCCCGGGCCACCGCUGGGAUCCAUCCGGCGCUGCGGGGCUGCGCUUACCGUCGGCCGCAGGUUUGGGCUCAUGUUGCUGAAGGGGUCCGGUGGGAAGUGCGCGGCCCGGGUCGCCUUGUGGAAGCAGGCGGUCGGCUCUCCGCAGGAGUGUGAGCGGCUGCGGGUGGCUCGGCGCCCGGGGCUCCUUCCGGGCUCCCCGCCGACUCCGGAGGCGGCCCUGAUCGCGACCCGGGGCGAGGUGCCGUGGAGUCGCGGCGGGAGCCCAGGCCGCUGCGGACCACGCGAUCCCGCAGCCGGCGACUAGAGCCCACCUCUGCAGAGACAAAGGCAUCCAAGGUUUCAGCAAACACCAAAGAUAUGGAGGACAGACACUGGAUGUGAAUUCUUAAGCCGUGAAUUAAACAAUGUUAUUGCACAUGUAAA